rnacentral:rRNA from 1 species
GCAUGCCUACAUCAUAGCGUUAAUGCACCAGUUCCUAUUAGAACUUUGCAGUUAAGCGCACUUGAGCUAGAGUAGUAUUGGAAUGGGUGACCACCUGGGAAAUCCUAUUUUUUUACAUUCC